UUUGACCGUUGACUGCCUGUGUUGACCGCGCCGUUGACCGGCGAUAUAUCUCUGUUGUAUGUCGUGUCGGUGGGUGCCUAAUUUCGGCGAUAUUUUCUUCCUUGGUUUGAACAGCCCAAAGGGAGAUGAGAGUGGAUUUGGGCUUUAGAGGAUAGGUCCCAGGUGAAAGGCCCAGGUUUGUGAAGGUAGUGGACGUUUUGGGCUUGCCCAUAGCAUCAGAUAUGGGCUUAUUUUUGGAGCCCAAGCCCAAGCCUAUGCUGAAGAGGGUGUUUGUAUUGGGCUUGCCCAUGAAGACUUUGGGCUCAGAUUUGAGUUGCAUCCCAG
rnacentral:lncRNA from 1 species